CGAAAAUCGAGUAGGGUUAUUGUUGGUGUCCUUGACUCAAGAAAGUUAGUUUUCAAUAUUUAUUAUUAAAAUUUUGAGAACUCGGCGUGAUGAAUCAAAGAAUGUCUAGCACUUCCACUAUGACUUAAGAUUAGAUUGAGGAGACCUAUUAAGAAUAGAAUUUCUUGUAGGCUUUAUGGACCAAGGGGAUUAGCGCUGCUUUCCCGAGACGAGUUUGUGUGAUUUUGAAUCUUCAGGCUUUGCCUAACCAGGUUGGCUGGCUGGUGCUGACGGGACGGAGCUGAGGCUAGGGUUAAUUUCCUAUGUUAGACUUCCGCUGUAGCAAUUACUCAUAUCUGUCUUUUGUUUUUCCCAACUUAAGAUCUUCAUGUUAAAUUUCAAAUGAUAUACCUGACCGAGCUUAGACUCUUCACUACCAAGUUUAUGCUAAUGAAUGUCGGUUGUCAGAAGCAUGAAACAAAACUUGUGAUCCAAAGGGGCAUAGCCCGACUUUCUAUCUUAUUUCGGUUUUAACAAGGUUUUUCCUUUGUUUA